UACUGGGAAUAAAGAACAAAAGAGGACCUUGCAAUAUAAGUAAAUACAUAAAUAAGAAUAAGAGAGGAUUGGCAGUGAGACAAAGAUCGAAAUUUCACCAUAUUGGAGUUGAGCCUCUCAACAGCAUUCUUUAUAUUUGUUGUGAUGAAUAUAUCACUUUUUGUAGUUUUAGUUCAUGGAGCAAAUAGCUUUACCAGAGAUGACUUCCCACCUGGCUUUGUGUUUGGUGCUGGUUCUUCACCUUAUCAGGUUGAAGGAGCAUCAAACCAAGAUGGAAGGACUCCAACAAGCAUAUGGGAUACCUUUGCCCGAGCUGGUAAACAUUUCUUUUAUGUAAUUCCAUGUCAAUGAUGAUGCUCAGCAGCUGUCCUCUAUAAUUCUCUUCUUGGCUAGUUAUCGUAGUCAAUAUAACUUUCUUAAGAGUACCAUUUUAGUUUUAUCUUAGUUGGUAAGGUUAAGAUAUAUGUGUGGCCAAGUUGUGAAAAUUUCAGAUUAUCUACACAAAACUGUAUGUGGAUGUUAGUUGUAGGAUGUAGGUUUGAUUCUCUUGAUGGAAAUUGCGUAUAGAAUCCCUGAACAAAAAAUUUACGGUGUCGGAAAAAAAAGAUAAACAGAAGUAAAUUCUGUGUUCAUGGUGUACUGUGGGAUUCAAGCGUAUACAAUGUUUGUGAUUUCAGAAUUUUGUGUUUCAUUAGUAAAUAUAUUUUUUUGGUGAGUAUAUUGGAA